rnacentral:rRNA from 1 species
GACGAACGCUGGCGGCGUGCUUAACACAUGCAAGUCGAACGCUGAAGCUUGGCACUUGUGUCGGGUGGAUGAGUGGCGAACGGGUGAGUAAUACGUGAGUGACCUGCCCUUGACUCUGGGAUAAGCCUGGGAAACUGGGUCUAAUACUGGAUAUGACCAAUGGAUGCAUGUUUGUUGGUGGAAAUGGGUUUUGUACUGGUUUUGGAUGGGCUCACGGCCUAUCAGCUUGUUGGUGGGGUAAUGGCUCACCAAGGCGACGACGGGUAGCCGGCCGGGAAGGGUGACCGGCCACACUGGGACUGAGACACGGCCCAGACUCCUACGGGAGGCAGCAGUGGGGAAUAUUGCACAAUGGGCGCAAGCCUGAUGCAGCGACGCCGCGUGAGGGAUGACGGCCUUCGGGUUGUAAACCUCUUUCAGCAGGGAAGAAGCGAAAGUGACGGUACCUGCAGAAGAAGCGCCGGCUAACUACGUGCCAGCAGCCGCCGUAA